AAAUUAUGGUGAGAGCACCUCCUCGAAAGUUCUCCAAAUCGUUCCCAUGGUUCAAAUAGGAAUUAUGACUUAUAUUGCUGAAAAUUAAAAAUUUCAUCUAAGUUU